rnacentral:rRNA from 1 species
GCCUACGGGGGGCAGCAGUGGGGAAUAUUGCACAAUGGGGGAAACCCUGAUGCAGCGACGCCGCGUGAAGGAUGAAGUAUUUCGGUAUGUAAACUUCUAUCAGCAGGGAAGAAAAUGACGGUACCUGACUAAGAAGCCCCGGCUAACUACGUGCCAGCAGCCGCGGUAAUACGUAGGGGGCAAGCGUUAUCCGGAUUUACUGGGUGUAAAGGGAGCGUAGACGGUAUGGCAAGUCUGAUGUGAAAACCCGGGGCUCAACCCCGGGACUGCAUUGGAAACUGUCGGACUAGAGUGUCGGAGAGGCA